GGAGUUGCGGCUCAGUGGUAGAGCAUUUGCCUAGCAUGUAUGAGGCACUGUGUUCAAUUCUCAGCACCA
rnacentral:tRNA from 1 species